UAGGGAAUCUUCCACAAUGGGCGAAGGCCUGAUGGAGCAACGCCGCGUGUGUGAUGAAGGGUUUCGGCUCGUAAAACACUGUUGUAAGAGAAGAAUGACAUUGAGAGUAACUGUUCAAUGUGUGACGGUAUCUUACCAGAAAGGAACGGCUAAAUACGUGACAG
rnacentral:rRNA from 1 species